UCCCUCGUGGCGCAAUUGGCUAGCGCGUUCGACUGUUACAAGAUGGCAUCGAGAGGUUGGUGGUUCGAGCCCACCCGAGGGAG
rnacentral:tRNA from 2 species